ensembl:lncRNA
GCAGGUGGCAGCGUGGAGUCACCCANNNNNNNNNNNNNNNNCCUCUCUGGGAGCCAGAGCAGCCUGGCCAGCGAGGCUGGGACAGGCUCUGCAGACCCGCAGUGGGGCACCCAGCCCUGGCCAGACCCAAAGGGCCCCGGCAAAAGGCACACCUGGGCGAGUCCCCGCUGCUGACGUGGCCUCCGCCGGUCCCCUCCGCCUGCCCUGGGCAGAGGCAUGUUUGGUGCGUGGAGCAGACUUUCCAGUGGAAGAGCCUGAGAGGGAGAGAGAGAGGGAGCUGGAGCCAGGCCCUCCCCGGCUCCUUCCCGACCAGUCCUGAAGGCCUGUGCCGCCCAGCCCUGCCCAGCGUGACCUCUGACUCAACAUCCAGUGUUUUGGGGGCUGAGUCCGCUUUCCCCCACCCACUGCCUUUCUGCACCCUUCUCUCUCGGGAACUCCCCUCUUCCACCCCGACCCCAGCGACUCCACUCAGCCAUGGCCUUUAUUUAUUGCCCUCCCCCAACCCCUAGGCCACCCCUGUGUUCAUUUUCAGUUUGCUCUCGUCUUGGCUGCACCGGAAGGGCAUUCGAAAACACUGUGUGGGGCCUUCCCAUAUGCACUGCAGUUUCUGAGGGUGCCAGGCAGGGCCUUCUCCAUAGUUGUAUUAAUGGAGGAAGACAUCCUACCCUGAGCGGUACCCGUCACAGCUGAACGUGGCCCCCAGAAAGGAGCUGUGAGCAGGUGGGAUGAGAGGUCCACCCGCCCGUCCCUCCCCCUGCAGCUCCGGGAGUGGAGCAGCCUUCUCCCUCUUGGCUCAGGAGCUGCUGCUAAGCCUGGCCAGCUGGUAGGUUUCUUGGAAGGCCUCCUUGGCCUCCCCAGGCUUUGCUCAGCCUCUCACUGGGUGGUGGAGCUGGGAAGGGUUCUGGUGAACUCUGUGAAUUCGCUCACUGGAAAGCAGCCUUCAGCUGAGUCCCCUGCUGGGGCGUGAACCUCCCUAAGCCGUUAAUUCACUUCUCUUCAAAAAAUAUCUAAUAAGUGUGGGCAGAUGCUUCUAGAAAACCCUUUCCCUGAGGAGAGAGAACGUGUGUUUAUGUGUGUGUGGUGCCCACACCCUCCCGUCCUUCCUGCCCGCCCCCCAUGCCUGGUCCUCGAAGGGCCUUCCUCUCCAGGCCCUCAGGCCCCCACCGUUAGCUCUUUUACCUUUGUCACUGGCAGACAGUAGGAAACCUCACUGUUGCCCUGCGACAAGUUAUGCUUCAGAACAUAAACAAUAAAGAUUAGAAUUUGCAUUGAGCCAGUGUGUUGACCAGAAGGCUACAAUCGCUUGUGUUUCUGAGAGCCUUCAGUAGAGAAGUGGAUGGGGGAAAUAUGGUACACCGAUUGCGGGAACACUUGCCCAGCCGCAGGAAAAGGUGUGAGCUUGAUCUGCGUGUUAGAAGGGCUCACAAAGCCAAUGCUGAAUGGAAAAAUUGAGGCCACCUGCGUUAAAGGGAAAGUUAAGUGUGAGUACAAAUAAUCGAAAUGACUUAUACACACGUGUAGGCACAUGUGUAACAACGGACAAGGAUGCCUGGUGAAACAUGUCGACUGAACGCAUCUGUAUUUCCUCUGCCUCCCAGACCCCACCAAAACGACACAAAGGAGCGAAAAUGGCAUGAGCUACAAAGGCAGAAGGAAUAGGAGAGGCGACGGCAGCAGGGAAGAGAGGUCCGAAGACUUUGGAAGAUGGAAGAGCAUCACUUGUUUAGUGCCAGCUUCCCGCGCUCCCCAAAGUGUCUACAAGAGGGAGAGCCAGCCAUUAACAAGCCCAUUCACUCUGCAGAAUCCCCCAAAUGCUCAGAACGUGGAGCGACCGGGUUAUGCCUAAGGCGGAAGCUCAGGGUGGGUGUGAAAAUAGUAUCGGUUGGAAGAAGUGCCACCCAAGCCUCGUCUCCCAGCCCAGAUGGCUCGUGAUGGCCCUUCUCUCCCUCUGGUAGAAGACGCGUUUACAGCUGGCCAAGGUUGAGCUAGAAGGAUUGGGUUUGGGAACCCUAAGCCCAACCAAAAGCUGAGGUGAAGUGAUAGUUAAUGGGGAGACCCUUAGCCCUCUUCACCUGCUCACAGGUGGCUCUGUUCCCAUCCAGCCCCUCUCCCACCCCCACGGCAGGACAUUAUUGAAUUUCUCUCUGGGAAACUGACCAAAGAGAAAAGACAGACAGAUGCUGAAAUUGGUGAUUCCCCCAUCUCUGCCCAGUCACCAUCGUGAGGCCCCCAUUCCCAAGCCCCUCCCAGGUGUACAGAGCUUCCUGUUAGCUUUGCCAUGUUGCACUCAUAGUUAACCAAAACCAACAGCUGAAGACACAGUGACCCCAGCACACAGAAGAAAGGGGUCAGAGAACAAUCCUCUGAAGAUAUUUGCCCUUGAAACAGGAAGAAAAGAAUGUUAUUUUUCAAAAGGCACUGUUAAAGCUCUUGAAAAUUAAAAGAUAAAUAUAUAAUAGCACAAAUGUUUCAAUGCAUUAGAAGGGGUGGAAGAUGUGAGAAAAUCUCCCAGAAAAUGAAACACCAAAACAAAGAAAUGUAAAAGUAGGAAGAAAAAGUCAAGACAUUCGGACAACCAAAAGAUCAGAUCCAUCCACACAGAAUGUCUCACCUCCAACUAACAGGAAUUUCAAACCAAGAAGGAGAAAAUAGAGGAGAGAAAAUUGUGGAAGAAAUGACACAAGAAUAUCUCCUAGGACUGAAGGAAACACUCUUUUGUAGAGAAAGAACUCACCACGUGCCGCGCACAGUGAUGUAAAACCAUAGCCAUGUGGACGGCUGCCACCAUUGUGAGUUGCCGUGUGACAAUACCUGGCCUGCAGCCGCAGCGUCGUACCUGUCACCUGAAGUCUUGCUAAAAGAGACUCUCACCCCCUAGGUCUGGGCCGGGGGCUGAGCGUGUAUGUCUGUCCGGCUCCCAGCUGAUGCUGCUGGCUGGAGGACCACACUCUGAGGCACCCUGGUCCAGGGCAGUGGCUGUCACCACUGGCAGCUCUUUGGAAUCACUUGGCAAGCUUUAUAAACACUCACGCUGGACGCGCCCCCCAGACGUGCCCCCAAAGAUUCUGGUUUAGUCAGUGUGGGGCCCAGCCUUGACAUCAGGAUGACUCCAUGUGCUGGCAGGACCGAAACUCUUCUAUGUGGGUUCCAGAAGACAUGCACGGGAUGUUUGGAGCAGCACUUUUUAUUAGCUGAAAACUGGAAACAACCUAAAUACCACGCUGAGCAAAGGAACAGAUGGCAGAAAAAAUAAGUAUGUUAUGACACUGUCUACACAGAGAUUUUUAAACAUGCAAAAAUGUUAUAUAUUAACAUAUAUUUUAUGCAGUGGAAGAAUAAAAUGCAUAGGAAGGAUAAACAACAGAUUUCAAGAUACAUCUUGAGAAGAAGAGGCAUUAGGAGGGGUUUUUAUUGGUAGUGUUUUCUUAGUCUCGAUGAUGGAUGGGUGGAUUUGUAAUAU